rnacentral:rRNA from 1 species
GUUGCACCUCCGAAAUCCAGAGUUAGGAAAAUCGCGGCUGGAAUUUUAAGGCUUAUCAUUACGCGCGAGAGAGA